GAAAUCCAACGUUGAGCGGGACUUAUUUCCCUUUAGUUCCAGUUUUAUUUCUGACUUGCUAUUUAUUCCUUAUGGCAAUUGGAUGAGGAGAGUAAAAUAUCAGAAGUGACCAGUGGACACAUUUCAUGAAAGAAUGAAGAAGCAUGGCAAACAAUGAAGGGGAGGACGUGAAGGAGGGUGAUCACUCAGAUUUGCUGGUCCCUGCCUGUCCUACACUAUACAGACUUUCAUCAUCUGGAGGCCAGCUGCCAGGCAGAAAGCACAUCCUUCUCUUUCUUUACCUAAGGAUCAUUCCACUCCAAUCCACCUUGGAUUUGUUUUCGAAGACUUCUCUCUUGACAACUAGAUGUUGUCAUUUGCAAAUUUAAGCUUGAGACAGAAAAAAGGUACCCAGAACUCCAUUCCAUCCCAGGACUUUAUCGAGAUAAGCUCAGCUUUUAUCAUACGAUAAUAUUAACUGAUGGCUUCUAAUUACAAUUCCGACAAAUGAGUUCUUCUAUAAAUCUGUGUUCAUAUUCCAGCUGCUGGAGUGGACUUGGAAGCAACUAUAGAAGAAAUUGUGUGGAGAGAAAGUGACAUUUGCUUUAGAUAUCCUUUCUUUAGGGAUUGUGUCUCAGUAGCUUCUGGGUGGCAAGUAGCCUUAUGGGAAUUUCUUUUGCUUCUUCCUCAUCUUUAAAAAUAAACUACUGUCUCGAUUUUCA
rnacentral:lncRNA from 12 species